rnacentral:rRNA from 1 species
ACAAAAACCGUGAGGGAAAGUUGCAAAGCACUUUGAAGAGAGAGUUAAAGAGGACGUGAAACCGGUGAGGUGGAAACGGAUAGAGUCAGCGUAUCCGACUUGUAUUCAGCUGCGUGGUGUAACGGCCUCCGGUGCUGGCGUCUCCAGAUUGGGAACAGUGCUGGUCGGCCGAGAGCUGUGCUGUGCAUUUGCAAGUGGAGUGCGUCGAGACUCAUGUGGUGGCGUCACAAACUUUGUUUUGAGGCCAGCUUGCUGGUACCCGAACUGGGCUACUGAUGUUCACGCAUAUGGGUGUUUGGGGGAAUGGCUUGCGGGCUACGGUUGGGCCCGAUCAAAGGGUCGGCGGCGGUCACAUGUGACACGUGCUGCGCAAUUUGUUCGGUCCAGCUUGGGAACACUGUUCUCACUCUCGACGUAGAAGCUGGUAAUCUAUCCGACCCGUUUUGAAACACGGACCAAGGAGUUUAUCGUGUGCGCAAGUCAUUGGGUGUUCAAAACCUAAAGGCGCAAUGAAAGUGAAUGCCUCCGCAAGGAGUUGAUGUGUGACACUGUUGGCCACGGCUGGCGGGUGCAAUAUAGCCAAAUUCGGAUUGCUUGCAAUCGGGUGGCGGAAGAGCGUACGCGACGAGACCCGAAAGAUGGUGAACUAUUCCUGAGCAGGAUGAAGCCAGAGGAAACUCUGGUGGAAGUCCGAAGCGAUUCUGACGUGCAAAUCGAUCGUCUGACUUGGGUAUAGGGGCGAAAGACUAAUCGAACCAUCUAGUAGCUGGUUCCUUCCGAUUGGGUAUAGGGGCGAAAGACUAAUUUAAAGUUUAA